rnacentral:tRNA from 1 species
GCCCUCUUAGCUCAGUGGUAGAGCGUUGGUCUCGUAGUUUAUGCUGGUGAAUCAAAGGUCGAGAGUUCAAUCCUCUCAGAGGGCA